rnacentral:rRNA from 1 species
GGCAGCCGCGGUAAUUCCAGCUCCAAUAGCGUAUAUUAAAGUUGUUGCAGUUAAAAAGCUCGUAGUUGAAUUUCGGGAUCAAGGCGUCGGUCGUGCUUCGGUACGUACUGGCGUCAUUGAUUUCUCCCUUCUGACGAACCAUGAUGUCAUUAACUUGGUGUUAUGGGAAAUCAGGACUGUUACUUUGAAAAAAUUAGAGUGUUUAAAGCAGGCUCACGCUUGAAUACAUUAGCAUGGAAUAAUGAAAUAGGACGUUCGAUCCUAUUUUGUUGGUUUUUAGGAUCAACGUAAUGAUUAAUAGGGAUAGUUGGGGGCAUUAGUAUUCAAUUGUCAGAGGUGAAAUUCUUGGAUUUAUUGAAGACUAACUACUGCGAAAGCAUUUGCCAAGGAUGUUUUCAUUAAUCAAGAACGAAAGUUAGGGGAUCGAAGACGAUCAGAUACCGUCGUAGUCUUAACCAUAAACUAUGCCGACUAGGGAUCGGAUGAUGUUAAUUAUUUAAUGACACAUUCGGCGCCUUAA